rnacentral:rRNA from 1 species
UACGUAGGCAGCGAGCGUUGUUCGGAGUUACUGGGCGUAAAGAGUGCGUAGGCGGUUUUCUAAGUUUGGUGUGAAAUCUCCCGGCUUAACUGGGAGGGUGCGCCGAAGACUGGAAGGCUUGAGUAUGGGAGAGGUAAGCGGAAUUCCUGGUGUAGCGGUGAAAUGCGUAGAUAUCAGGAGGAACACCUGCGGUGUAGACGGCUUACUGGACCAUCACUGACGCUGAGGCACGAAAGCUAGGGGAGCAAACAGG